rnacentral:rRNA from 1 species
GACGAACGCUGGCGGCGUGCUUAACACAUGCAAGUCGAACGAAGUGGCGAACGGGUGAGUAAUACGUGGGUAACCUGCCCUCCUUUUUGGGAUAAGCCUUGGAAACGGGGUCUAAUACCGAAUAAAGGGGGAUGGGCUCGCGGCCUAUCGGCUUGUUGGUGGGGUGAUGGCCUACCAAGGCGGUGACGGGUAGCCGGCCUGAGAGGGUGAACGGCCACAUAGGGACAGAGUAAAGGCCAAGACACCUACGGGAGGCAGCAGUUGGGGAUAUUGGAAAAUGGGCGAAAGCCUGAUGCAGCGACGACGCGUGGGGGAUGAAGGCUUUCGGGUUGUAAACCUCUUUAGCAAUCGAACGGGUAGUUGGAGAAGAAGCGCCGGCUAACUACGUGCCAGCAGCCGCGGUAAUAC